rnacentral:rRNA from 1 species
CAGAACACUCUGACAGGAAGCAUCCCGCCGGGGAUCGGGAGCCUUGCAAACCUAAGAACGCUCAAUCUGCAGUUCAACAACCUAUCUGGAGGGAUCCCACGGGAGAUAGGUGGUCUUGUUAACCUUGUUGGACUAGGCCUGGGUUAUAACCUGCUGGGAGGCUCCAUUCCUGCUUCACUUGCAAACCUUUCGGCGCUCCAGUAUAUGAGCAUCCCUACAGCCAAACUAACAGGGAGCCUACCACCUCUCCAGAACCUUUCAUCUCUUCUAGUCCUUGAACUAGGAGCGAACAGCAUCAAAGGAAGCAUCCCUGCUUGGUUGGGAAAUCUCUCGUCGCUAGUGUUUCUUAGUCUUCAGCAAAAUGGCCUCACAGGGCGCAUCCCGGAAUCAUUAGGCAGCCUUCAGGUGCUCACGAACCUUGAUCUUUCGCAAAACAAUCUUUCAGGUCAAAUACCACAUUCCCUUGGAUAUCUUGGUGCCCUAAUGACCCUUCGUCUAGACUAUAAUAAACUGGAAGGUUCUUUUCCUCCUUCGCUGCUCAACCUUUCCGCUCUUGAAGAUAUAGGUCUACAAAGCAAUCGUCUUAGUGGGUCUUUUCCUCUUGACAUAGGCAAUAAGCUUCCAAACAUACAAACUUUUGUUGCGGAUAUCAACCAAUUUCAUGGAAAAAUUCCACCAUCCAUGUGCAAUGCCUCUGGGCUUCAAAUUCUGCAAGCAGUGUAUAACUCUUUGUCAGGUGAAAUUCCCAAUUGUCUUGAGCUCCAAAACAGGUUGUCGGUUGUGGCCCUUUCAAAAAAUAAGCUCGAAGCAACAAAUGAUGCUGAUUGGGGCUUUUUGACCAGCUUGACAAACUGCGGCAAUUUGAAGUCCUUAGAUUUGGGUUACAACAGUCUUCAAGGUGAGUUGCCUAGUGCAGUCGGAAACCUUUCCUCAGGUUUGAGUUUUCUUAUCAUAGCAAACAACAAUAUAGUUGGAAAAAUACCUGAAGCAAUAGGAAACUUGGUCAACUUGAAGUUACUGUACAUGGACAACCAUUUGGAGGGAACUAUCCCAGCUUCUCUUGGUAAACUCAAGGUGUUGAACCGAUUGUCUCUACCAUAUAACAACCUGUCAGCAUCAAUCCCACCAACUCUAGGCAAUCUUACAGCACUGAGUGUAUUAUUGCUCCAAGGAAAUGCACUUGAUGGAAGCAUUCCUUCCAGUCUUAGCAGUUGCCCCAUAGAACAACUGGAUCUUUCAUAUAACAGUCUUGCUGGCCCAAUAUCUAGACAACUCUUUCUCAUCUCUACCUUAUCCAGUUUCAUGCUUUUGGGGCAUAAUUUGUUAUCUGGUACUCUGCCAUCUGAAAUAGGCAACCUAAAAAACCUUGGAGUGCUUGAUUUCGCUUCAAAUAUCAUUUCUGGAGAGAUACCUGCCUCCAUUGGUGAGUGUCAGAGCUUGCAGCAUAUCAAUAUAUCUGGAAACUCACUUCAAGGGAAAAUUCCAUCGUCGAUGGAGCAACUAAAAGGUCUGUUGGUGCUUGACCUUUCCAGCAAUAAUUUGUCCGGUGGCAUCCCUCAGUUUCUUGGAAAUUUGAAAGGCAUUUCUGCUCUGAAUCUAUCAUUCAACAGUUUUGAAGGUGAAGUCCCAAAACAUGGGGCAUUCCUCAAUGCGACAGCAAUCUCGAUCACCGGAAAUGAUGGCCUGUGUGGUGGUAUCCCUCAAUUGAAAUUGCCUCCCUGUUUUAACCACACCAUCAAGAAAGCAUCCAGGAAACUUGUCGUGAUAAUCUCCAUAUGCAGUGCAACUUUAUUUAUCACAUUAGUAUUUGCACUGUUCAUAUUCUAUUAUAGGAGCAGGAAGAUGAGAUCAAGCAUACAAAUAUCACUCACCAGUGAGCAAUAUAUGAGGGUUUCUUAUGCUGAAUUAUUCAACGCAACAAAUGGUUUUGCUUCCGACAACCUCAUUGGAGCAGGAAGUUUUGGCUCGGUCUACAAGGGAAGUAUGCGAAGCAAUGACCAACAAGUAGUUGUUGCUGUGAAGGUGCUCAACCUCAAGUGACGUGGUGCUUCUCAAAGCUUCAUUGCAGAAUGUGAGACACUGAGAUGCGCUCGACAUCGGAACCUUGUGAAGAUACUGACAGUAUGCUCUAGUAUUGAUUUUGAGGAUCAUGAUUUCAAGGCCCUUGUAUAUGAAUUCCUACCAAACGGUAACUUAGAUGAAUGGCUACACCAGCAGAUCACGGGGGAUGGUGAACACAAGGCAAUAGAUCACAUUGUGAGGUUAGGCAUUGCAAUUGAUGUGGCAUUCUCACUUGAAUAUCUUCACCAACAUAAGCCAUUGCCGAUUAUUCACUGUGAUCUUAAGCCAAGCAAUGUUCUCCUCGACAGUGACAUGGUUGCUCAUGUUGGUGAUUUUGGGCUUGCAAGAUUUGUACAUCAAGACUUGGAGAAUUCAAGUGGCUGGGCAUCAAUGAGAGGAACAAUUGGUUAUGCCGCUCCAGAGUAUGGAGUUGGCAAUCAAGUCACAACCCUAGGUGAUGUCUAUAGCUAUGGCGUAUUGCUGCUAGAAAUGUUCACUGGAAAAAGACCAACAGACAUUGAUUUUGGGGAUGUUUUUGGCCUUCGCAAGUAUGUUCAGAUGGCACUGCCAGGCAAGAUGGCUAAUGUCAUUGACCAAUGGUUAUUGCCAGAGAUGGAAAAUGAUAAACAAGACAAGUCCAACUCUAACAAGAGCAGAGAUCUGAGAAUAGCUUGCAUCACUUCGAUUCUGCGUAUUGGACUUUCCUGUUCAGAGCACCAACAGAUCGCCCGCAAAUUGGAGAUGCUCUGA